UUAUGAAACGGGCACAGGACUCCUCGGUGUCACUAAAACUCCAUGAAACCCCUGCUGCGAUGUCUGGGAGUAAAGGGAGCAUUGCCCUGUUGUCUGUACGCGCUAAGAUAAAAGCUGAGCCCACACAGCUCAUGAAUGGAGCUAAACGGAGGAAAUGGAGCCAGGGGUGGGAAAAGAAAGCAUGACAUCUGGUGACAUCCUUUGAGUCCCUCCAUCCAGCCAUAUGUGGUGUGGCAUUCCCAACUGAAGCAGAAAUGUGCAGUCGCUUGUCCGUGCAGAGGAUGUUUAUUGAGUGGCUACUGUGUGCUGAAGACGAUGUUAAACAGGAGCUGUAAGAUGCUGUCUUCCAAAGGUGAUCUGGAAGCAGAUGGCACACUGGGUUUACAUGGUCCUUGCUAAAAGGAUGAUCCCAAGAAAAGUGGAUACUGCCAACAGUGGAGAAAAGAGCAAAUGGUCUGUUCUGAGUGACAUCUCAUCCUCUGGGCAGCAGGGGUACCCCAGAGGUAGAGCAUGAAGAUCAUUUGAUCCCAAGAACUCAGGACUGGCAGACAACAGGGAGGAUUGGACACCAGCUUUCUGGUUGAAGUACCAAUUUAUCACACAACUGGAUGAGCCUUGAAUACAUUGUGGGAAAAUUCCAGACUCUUACUAUUAUUUAUUUUUAAAAGUAUUAGAAUUGACCAUCUGUGGUGGUUUGAGUGAAAAUGCCCCCUAUAGGCUCAUAUAUUUGUACUCUCAGCCCCUAGUUGGUGAACUGUUAGGAGCUGUGGCCUUGUUGGAGGAGGCGUGUCACUGGGAGUGAGCUUUGAGGUUUCAAAGGCCCAGCCCAGGCCUGUUGUCUCUUUCUCUGACUGUUGCCUCUGACUCAGGAUGUCAAGCUCUCAGCUACUGCUCCAGCACCAUGCCUGCCUGCUUCUUGCCACAAUGAUAAUUGACUAACCCUCUACAACUAUAAUCAAGCCCCCAACUAAAUGCUUUCUCUUAUAAGAAUUGCCUUGGCCAUGGUAUCUCUUCAGUGCCCUAGAACAGUGACUAAGAUGCCAUCUGUAGACACAGGAGGAUGGUUCAUGGUUGCCACAGAGUAUGAGAUUGGGCGAUAGGGAAUUUUCUUUGGGAGAUGAUGGAAAUAUUCUACAGUGGAGGAUGGAGAUGGUUAUACAGCAUUGUGAUAAUAUAAUGCCCUGAACUACUGAAUGCUAUACAUUAAAAGGGAGAAUUUUAUGGUAUGUGAAUUCUAUUUCAACAACAACAAAAGCCACAACAAAGCUCAA